rnacentral:rRNA from 1 species
CAUCAGCACCAGCACGCUCCCAAGCAUUAAGCUCAGGAAAUGCAGCAGCAAGAUAAUCACGAGUAUCCUUUCCUUUAUCAGCGGCAGACUUGCCACCAAGUCCAACCAAAUCAAGCAACUUAUCAGAAACGGCAGAAGUGCCAGCCUGCAACGUACCUUCAAGAAGUCCUUUACCAGCUUUAGCCAUAGCACCAGAAACAAAACUAGGGACGGCC